UAGCUAGUUGGUGAGGUAACGGCCCACCAAGGCGACGAUUGGUAGCCGGACUGAGAGGUUGAACGGCCACAUUGGGACUGAGACACGGCCCAGACUCCUACAGGAGGCAGCAGUGGGGGAUAUUGCACAAUGGGGGAAACCCUGAUGCAGCGACGCCGCGUGGAGGAAGAAGGUUUUCGGAUUGUAAACUCCUGUCGUUAGGGACGAUAAUGACGGUACCUAACAAGAAAGCACCGGCUAACUACGUGCCAGCAGCCGCGGUAAAACGUAGGGUGCAAGCGUUGUCCGGAAUUACUGGGUGUAGAGGGAGCGCAGGCGGACCGGCAAGUUGGAAGUGAAAACUAUGGGCUCAACCCAUAAAUUGCCUUCAAAACUGCUGGCCUUGAGUAGUGCAGAGGUAGGUGGAAUUCCCGGUGUAGCGGUGGAAUGCGUAGAUAUCGGGAGGAACACCAGUGGCGAAGGCGACCUACUGGGCACCAACUGACGCUGAGGCUCGAAAGCAUGGGUAGCAAACAGGAUUAGAUACCCUGGUAGUCCAUGCCGUAAACGAUGAUUACUAGGUGUUGGAGGAUUGACCCCUUCAGUGCCGCAGUUAACACAAUAAGUAAUCCACCUGGGGAGUACGACCGCAAGGUUGAAACUCAAAGGAAUUGACGGGGGCCCGCACAAGCAGUGGAGUAUGUGGUUUAAUUCGAAGCAACGCGAAGAACCUUACCAGGUCUUGACAUCCGAUGCAUAGUGCAGAGAUGCGUGAAGUCCUUCGGGACAUCGAGACAGGUGGUGCAUGGUUGUCGUCAGCUCGUGUCGUGAGAUGUUGGGUUAAGUCCCGCAACGAGCGCAACCCUUAUUGCCAGUUACUACGAAAGAGGACUCUGGCGAGACUGCCGUUGACAAAACGGAGGAAGGUGGGGAUGACGUCAAAUCAUCAUGCCCUUUAUGACUUGGGCUACACUCGUACUACAAUGGCGUUUAACAAAGAGAAGCAAGACCGCGAGGUGGAGCAAAACUCAAAAACAACGUCUCAGUUCAGAUUGCAGGCUGCAACUCGCCUGCAUGAAGUCGGAAUUGCUAGUAAUCGCGGAUCAGCAUGCCGCGGUGAAUACGUUCCCGGGCCUUGUACACACCGCCCGUCACACCAUGAGAGCCGGGGGGACCCGAAGUCGGUAGUCUAACCGCAAGGAGGACGCCGCCGAAGGUAAAACUGGUGAUUGGGGUGAAGUCGUAACAAGGUAACCGUA
rnacentral:rRNA from 1 species